rnacentral:tRNA from 1 species
GGAGAGGUGCCGGAGUGGUUGAACGGGCACGCCUGGAGAGCGUGUGUUCUCUUAACGGGGAACCGAGGGUUCGAAUCCCUCCCUCUCCG